rnacentral:rRNA from 1 species
GGUUGAUCCUGCCGGAGGUCACUGCUAUCGGGUUUCGACUAAGCUAUGCGAGACGCGAGUCAUCUGGACUCGUCGAACUGCUCAGUAACACGUAGUUAAUCUACCCUCAAGUGGAGGAUAAUCCUGGGAAACUGGGGCUAAUACUCCAUAGUUGUCUGGUGCUGGAAUGCCCUUACAACCAAAGCUCCGGCGCUUGAGGAUGGGACUGCGGCCUAUCAUGGCAGUUGUGAGUGUAAUGUACUCACAAACCUAUAACGGGUAGGGGUCAUGAAAGUGAGAGCCCCGAGAUGCUUUCUGAGACAUGAAAGCAGGUCCUACGGGACGCAGCAAGCGCGCAACCUUUCCAAUGGCUUAACGGUCGAGAAGGGAAACCUGAGUGAUUGUACUUUGUAUAGUCUUUUGUUUUGUCUAAAUAGCAAGACGAAUAAGAGGUGGGUAAGACGGGUGGCAGCCGCCGCGGUAAUACCCGCGCCUCGAGUGGUGACCACUAUUAUUGGGUUUAAAGCGUCCGUAGCCGGUUUAGCAAGUUCUUGGUGAAAUCCAAUAGUUAACUAUUGGGCUUGCUGAGAAUACUACUAGACUUGGGAUUGGGAGAGGACAGGGGUAUUCCAUGAGUAGGGGUUAAAUCCUUUAAUCCAUGGAGGACCACCAGUGGCGAAGGCGCCUGUCUAGAACAAGUCCGACGGUGAGGGAAAAGCGUGGGGAGCAAAUGGGAUUAGAUACCCCAGUAGUCCACGCCGUAAACGAUGCCCGCUUGAUGUUGCAAACUUUACGAGAGUUUGCAGUGUCGGAGUGUAAAUGUUAAGCGGGCCACCUGGGGAGUACGGCCGCAAGGCUAAAACUUAAGGGAAUUGGCGGGAGAGCACACAAGGGGUGUGAGCUGCGGUUUAGUUAGAUUCAACGCUGGGAAUCUCACGAAGGUUGACAGCAGAAUGAAGGUCAGUCUAAAGGGCUUACCAGACAAGCUGAGAGGUGUUGCAUGGCCAUCGUCAGCUCGUACCUUGAGGCGUGCGGUUAAGUCCGUUAACGAGCGAGACCCACACCACCAUUUGCUAUCGUGUUUUAGACCUUCCGGUCAUAAGCACGAGCACUAUGUUGGGACCGCUGGUGAUGAACCAGAGGAAGGAGUGGGCUACGGUAGGUCCGUAUGGCCCGAAUAUCUUCGGCUACACGCGGCCCGCAAUGGUUAGGACAAAGCGUUGCGACACCGAAAGGUGAAGCUAAUCGCCCAAACCUAACCCAAGUUCAGAUUGUGGAUUGUAAUUCAUCCACAUGAAGCUGGAAUCCCUAGUAAGCGAAUGUCAUCAUCGUUCGCUGAAUCUGUCCCUGCUCUUUGCACACACUGCCUGUCAAGCCAUGCGAAUAAAGUUUUGAUGAGGCCAGCUUUAACUGCGUCGAAUCAGAGCUCUGUGAGUGGGGC